rnacentral:tRNA from 1 species
GCUCAUAUAGCUCAGGCGGUAGAGCACUUCCUUGGUAAGGAAGAGGUCACUGGUUCGAAUCCAGUUAUGAGCACCA